CAUGGGCAUCGAUAUUGCUUAGUGAGAAGCUGGGUACACAUCUGAAGCCUGCCUGUACUUUCUGUUCCUUUGUCAGGUGAAGUUUCCAAGUACGAGUGUCCGUCACUCAGGAAACGGAGCCCCGCUCAUGAGAUGUUGACUCGAGGUGUUGGGAAGUCUGGUGAGAAGUGUGGUGGGCCCAGGUUGCUGCCACUGCUGUUUGGAUCAUCGAGCACGGUGAAGUUCCCAAGUACGAGUGUCCGUCACACAAGAAACAGAGCCCCACUCGUGAGGUGGUGACUCGAGGUGCUAAGGAGUCCGGUGAGAAGUGUGGCGGGCCCAGGUUGCUGCCACUGCUUUUUGGAUCACUGAGCACGGUGAAGUUGCCAGGCAUGACUGUCCGUCACCCAGGAGACGAAGCCCCGCCAAUGAGGCGGUGAAUCGAGGUGCAGGGGAGUCUGACGAGAAAUGUGGUGGGCCCAGGUUGCUGCCAGUUCUUUUGGAAUCACCAAGCACAUGGUCAAGUUGCCUAAUAUGACUGCCUAUCACCCAGGAGAUGAAGCCAUGCCAGUGAGGCACAUACUUGAGGUGCGGAGGAGUCCAGCGAGAAGUGUGGCGGGCACAGGUUGCUGCUACUGCUUUUUGGAUCACCCAGCACGGUACGGCUUCUCCUGCCCCAAGACGUGUCGUGAAUUUCAGGUUUCCUGGGACUGCCUGAGUGGUUGUUCGUAUAGAGGGACCGUUCCUCUUGCUGAGAAGCCUGAGGGCUCUGAGUUCCCCUGGCUGCUGGAGGACUCCUGGGUCACUGGCUCCUCCUGGGAGCAGCCCUUCCUGCCGUGA
rnacentral:lncRNA from 1 species